GGCAGUGACAUUUCAUGCAAAGACCGUUACUUAAGAAGAGGUUUUGCAAAGUAUCACUGCUU
rnacentral:pre_miRNA from 1 species